UACAUAUUGUAUACAGUUGCUACAUGUUGAUGUUUGGGGUUACAAUGCACUCACUGAAAUCAUGCUACUUCUGCUAAUAAAAAACAAUGAAUGAUUUAUUUCACUAGAUAACAACACAGACACACACACGUGUUUACAUAAUUUAAAUUAAUUGUUAUUGCAAAUAAUUAAAAGCACCGACACUGAGGCAAGAAAAUCUCAGCGAAAGCUUCGAAAUUCUUUUGGUCCAAUUGGAGUCAUGCAUAAUUUGCG
rnacentral:lncRNA from 1 species